rnacentral:rRNA from 1 species
UACGUAGGGUCCGAGCGUUGUCCGGAAUUAUUGGGCGUAAAGAGCUCAUAGGCGGUUUGUCGCGUCUGCUGUGAAAUCCCGAGGCUCAACCUCGGGUCUGCAGUGGGUACGGGCAGACUGGAGUGCGGUAGGGGAGAAUGGAAUUCCUGGUGUAGCGGUGGAAUGCGCAGAUAUCAGGAGGAACACCGAUGGCGAAGGCAGUUCUCUGGGCCGUAACUGACGCUGAGGAGCGAAAGCGUGGGGAGCGAACAGG